rnacentral:rRNA from 1 species
CCUACGGGUGGCAGCAGUAGGGAAGGUUCGGCAAUGGGGGGAACCCUGACCGAGCAACGCCGCGUGAAGGAAGAAGGAAUUCGUUCUGUAAACUUCGGUUAUAAAGGAAGAAAGACGGAGGGAGGAAAUGACAUCCGAGGGACGGUACUUUAGGAGAAAGCCACGGCUAACUACGUGCCAGCAGCCGCGGUAAAACGUAGGUGGCAAGCGUUAUCCGGAUUUAUUGGGCGUACCGAGGGAGCAGGCGGCAGCCAAGGUCUGUGGUGAAUGACUGACGCUUAACUUCAGUAAGCCAGAGAAACCGGGCAGCUAGCGUGCAGGAGAGGAUCGUGGAAUUCCAUGUGUAGCGGU